rnacentral:lncRNA from 1 species
GGGGUCUUGCUAUAUUGGCCAGGUUGGUCUUGAACUCCUGGGCUCAAGCAAUUCUCCUGCCUCAGCCUCGUGAAGUGCUGGGAUUACAAGCAUCAGCCACUGUGCCAGAUGGAUUGAGUUCUUAAAUUGGGUCCUAUGGCUUGCUCAAGUGUAGCGGUCUGUAUGCAAUAUCCUUGGCUCCCACACCUUCCCUUAGCAGAGGGUUGUGGGUGAGGCAGCUUCCUUAGGAAAAGACAGUGGGUAUGAAGCUGGGGAUCUAAGAGAUUCCUUCCUUAGCAAGGGCUGUGUGGAAUCUCUUCUAGAGAAGUGGCUCCAAGAAUCACAGCUCCAUUCAUUCUCAGAGGUAGCAAUGGCAGCAGGUUCAGAGGCAGGCACCCAGUGUCUAGUUUCUAGUUUUGGGGGAUGCCCCGUGUAAGCUGUGAUGUCCAGUAGGCCCAGUAGCAGCUGGACUGUCUUCAUCAGAUUGCUCUAGGAUGUGAUUUUGAGCUUGGUCCGUAGCUGUAAAAAUCUUCAAUCCUGAUUCUCCUGUCCUUAUUGAAAUUCUGUGAACCACCAAUACUAUUUUAAUCAAGUUCUUUUCUGUUCUGCUUAGCUCAAUUGAUUUCUGUUGUUUGUGAAAACAUUGACUGAUUUAGGGAAUAUGUUAUAGAGGGCUUCCAUGGGUCAAAAGGUAAUUUUGCUGGUCUUGUCUGUGGCCUCCUCACCCCCUGCCCAAUUCCAUGAAUCUAAGUAACUUGGCCAAGUUCACACAGCAGGUGGCAUAGCCAUUACUAAAACCUCCAACACCCUCCAACAGACCUCAUAAUCCUUAGCCCAGUUGAUCUCCCUGUGAAAAAUCCUGGGGACCUCUACCCCUGCCUUGCACUUGGGAGUCAACUCAGUUUCCUUAACUUGUCACGUACACUUGCCUUUAAGUCUUAGUUUCUUGGAUUUAUGGGAUCUCAAAUUCCAUUCAAUGAAUCUAAAAUCCAACUAGUUAGGGGAGAGGUGGUUAGAGCCACCACACAAGUGGGUGAGUUGGCCUUAGGUGGGCACUUGAAUGAAGUAUCCACUGUUAAUGGGAAGACACAGUGUACAGGUAGAGAAACAUGUAGGCCAAUGAGUAGAUUUUAUUGAUGAGAGGAUGUGGAAAUUCUCUUUGGUUCCUAAUAUUUUCUCAGUGAAAUGAAGAGCAAUGUUAUCAGCUGAGAGUGAGGGGGAGUAUUAGAGGUUGAGAAGGAGAAGGAGUGAAAUGGUAUACUAAGGAGAGUGGGAGAGUGAAUUGGUUUAGGGAAAUUAGGGUGGCUAUAUACCACUGAAGGUCCACUUGAGGAUUCUGGCCAUACAUUUAUUCAUUUUUGUUUAUUUAUUUAUUUUGAGACAGGGUAUCACUUUGUUGCCCAGGCUGCAGUACAGUGGUACAAUCAUAGCUCACUGUAGCCUCCAGCCUCUGGGCUCAAGUGAUCCUCCCUGCCUCAACCUCCUGAAUAGCUGGGACUACAGAUGUGUACCAACAUGCCCAGCUAAUUUUUAAAAAUUUCUUGUAGAGAUGAGAUCUCACUAUGUUAACCAGCCUGGCCAACAUAUAGUGAAACCCUGCCUCUCAAAAAAAAAAAAAAAAAAAAAAA